rnacentral:rRNA from 1 species
GACGAACGCUGGCGGCGUGCCUAAUACAUGCAAGUCGAACGGUCUUUUCUAUGGAAGCUUGCUUCCACUGAGAAGAUAGUGGCGAACGGGUGAGUAACACGUGGGUAACCUGCCCAUAAGAGGGGGAUAACAUCCGGAAACGGGUGCUAAUACCGCAUAGUUUUCUUGAUCGCAUGAUAGGGAAAGGAAAGACGGCCUUUGUGCUGUCGCUUAUGGAUGGACCCGCGGCGUAUUAGUUAGUUGGUGAGGUAAUGGCUCACCAAGACGAUGAUACGUAGCCGACCUGAGAGGGUGAUCGGCCACAUUGGGACUGAGACCCGGCCCAAACUCCUACGGGAGGCAGCAGUAGGGAAUCUUCCGCAAUGGACGAAAGUCUGACGGAGCAACGCCGCGUGAGUGAAGAAGGUUUUCGGAUCGUAAAACUCUGUUGUCAGAGAAGAACAAGUUGGAGAGUAACUGCUCCAGCCUUGACGGUAUCUGACCAGAAAGCCACGGCUAACU